GGGGCGGUGGCCAGGCGGUUGCCCUGACAACGGGGAACCGACCGACUCUUCCCGGUAUUCUAAUCACAGAAUUACUGGAGCAUCAAGAAGUGCCUGCAUGCUUGGAAGGGCUUCCAGGCAGAUGAACACACCUCAGCACCGGGUGGCAUUUUCCCAGGGUGCAACCCGGACCGGCUCUGGGUCACACUGACAAGGACAACAGGGUUAACAAUUUCCAGAGACAGCCCGUACAUAGAAGGAAUGUUUACUGAAAAAAAUGAAGAGGGGUCAGGGCAAGGCGAGGAGCAAGAAGCACCCCCAAGGAAACAGAGAAGACCAGUACAACUGUACCUCUUUGCCAGCUGCACCAUCCGUACCAGGUGGCACGUUCCAGAGCCAUAGCCUCUGUUCUAUUCAUCUCCAGUCUCCUGGGGUGGAAGUGUCCAGCACAGAGACUGCCACACUGCAAGACGAAGGGGCUGGACACACGGAAGAGAGAGGCGGAACCCUGCACCCCCUCAACCUCAGCCCUACUGAGUCUCCAAUGGGGCCACGCUUCUGAGUGCACCUCCCCGUGUCAUCUGUAAUGUGAGGGGGAACCAGGCUUGAUAUGGCAUUCCCAAUCCAGGGC
ensembl:lncRNA PEF1-AS1 PEF1 and COL16A1 antisense RNA 1